UGGGGAAUAUUGGGCAAUGGGCGCAAGCCUGACCCAGCAACGCCGCGUGAAGGAAGAAGGCCCUCGGGUUGUAAACUUCUUUUACUCGGGACGAAAAAAAUGACGGUACCGGGUGAAUAAGCCACGGCUAACUACGUG
rnacentral:rRNA from 1 species